rnacentral:tRNA from 1 species
AGUCAGGUCAGCUAAGCAAGCUUUUGGGCCCAUACCCCAAAAAUGUUGGUUAAAGUCCAUCCCUUACUA